GGCUCUAUCGUCUAGUGGUCAGGACACCACCUUCUCAAGGUAGUAACCGGAGUUCGAUUCUCCGUAGAGUCA
rnacentral:tRNA from 1 species